rnacentral:rRNA from 1 species
UACGGAGGAUGCAAGCGUUAUCCGGAAUGAUUGGGCGUAAAGCGUCCGCAGGUGGCUAUGUAAGUCUGCUGUUAAAGAGUGAGGCUCAACCUCAUAAGAGCAGUGGAAACUACCAAGCUAGAGUACGGUAGGGGCAGAGGGAAUUUCCGGUGGAGCGAUGAAAUGCGUAGAGAUCGGAAGGAACACCCAAGGCGAAAGCACUCUGCUGGGCCGACACUGACACUGAGAGACGAAAGCUAGGGGAGCAAAUGGG